rnacentral:rRNA from 1 species
AUUGAACGCUGGCGGCAGGCCUAACACAUGCAAGUCGAACGGUAACAGGAAGCAGCUUGCUGCUUCGCUGACGAGUGGCGGACGGGUGAGUAAUGUCUGGGAAACUGCCUGAUGGAGGGGGAUAACUACUGGAAACGGUUGCUAAUACCGCAUAACGUCGCAAGACCAAAGAGGGGGACCUUAGGGCCUCUUGCCAUCGGCUGUGCCCAGAUGGGAUUAGCUAGUGGGUGGGGUAACGGCUCACCUAGGCGACGAUCCCUAGCUGGUCUGAGAGGAUGACCAGCCACACUGGAACUGAGACACGGUCCAGACUCCUACGGGAGGCAGCAGUGGGGAAUAUUGCACAAUGGGCGCAAGCCUGAUGCAGCCAUGCCGCGUGUAUGAAGAAGGCCUUCGGGUUGUAAAGUACUUUCAGCGGGGAGGAAGGGAGUAAAGUUAAUACCUUUGCUCAUUGACGUUACCCGCAGAAGAAGCACCGGCUAACUCCGUG